AAUGGGGGCAACCCUGAUCCAGCCAUGCCGCGUGAGUGAAGAAGGCCUUCGGGUUGUAAAGCUCUUUCGCGAGGGAAGAAAUUGCACCGGAUAAUACCUGGUGUAGAUGACGGUACCUUGAUAAGAAGCACCGGCUAACUACGUGCCAGCAGCCGCGGUAAUACGUAGGGUGCGAGCGUUAAUCGGAAUUACUGGGCGUAAAGCGUGCGCAGGCGGUUUCGUAAGACAGGCGUGAAAUCCCCGGGCUUAACCUGGGAACUGCGCUUGUGACUGCGAGGCUAGAGUACGGCAGAGGGAGGUAGAAUUCCACGUGUAGCAGUGAAAUGCGUAGAGAUGUGGAGGAAUACCGAUGGCGAAGGCAGCCUCCUGGGCCAGUACUGACGCUCAUGCACGAAAGCGUGGGGAGCAAA
rnacentral:rRNA from 1 species